rnacentral:rRNA from 1 species
GACAGAGGAUGCAAGCGUUAUCCGGAAUGAUUGGGCGUAAAGCGUCUGUAGGUGGCUUUUCAAGUCCGCCGUCAAAUCCCAGGGCUCAACCCUGGACAGGCGGUGGAAACUACCAAGCUGGAGUACGGUAGGGGCAGAGGGAAUUUCCGGUGGAGCGGUGAAAUGCAUUGAGAUCGGAAAGAACACCAACGGUGAAAACAGGUUGCUGGGAGUGUGCUGACGCUGAGGCACGAAAGCCAGGGGAGCAAACGGG